GAAUUCGUUUUGUCUGAGCUAAUUGAAUCAUUAAUUCUCUGGAUUUUCAAGAAUUUAUUCCUUCUGACUCCUAGCAGACCUGGACGGUUGGAAAAGCAUGGUGCAUAUUAUUCAACAGUCAAAAUAUGAAUUGUGUUAGCAAAUUUUGAUCUGAUUUCAUCAUGACUGCUGAGAGAUUAUAUUUUACUUCUUAGAAGAAUUUUCAUCAUAAACUGAACAGAGAAGAAAUAAUGGAUCUUUUUGGACUAAGAAUAAACAGCAUACUUCAUUAGUCAAUGGAAGAGUGUUUCUUGAGUAACAACAAUGAAGAUUAUUCAUUGAAACUCAUAAGCCAAAAAUAAAUAAAUAAAUAAAUAAAUAAAUAUAAAGGGGCAGAAGCAUACAGAGGAGCAAGAUUUAAUAUCAAAGAAUGCCUAAAGUAUUUUUAUAACUUAGGUUGAUCAUUUUGCUUUUCUAGAAACACCUUUAACAUUAGAAUUUAACUACUGGUAAGGUGAAAUAAUGUUUGUGUUUUUUUUUUUUGGUACUGGGGAUCUAAGGGUGAAAUAAUGUUUAAGAGCACAGGCAAACAUCAUUAGAUUUCUAAAAUGAUGCUUUACUCUUAACAUAGCAAGUUUAUUUGAAUCAAAGAUAGUAAAAUAUGAAGUAAAAUUUGAACUUGGUAUAAAACCAAAGUAAUUACAAAUCAUGUUUUUUGGUACCGGGGAUUGAACUCAGGUCCUUGCACUUGGGCAGCAGGUGGAGAAACCACUGAGCUAAAUCCCCGGCCCUACGAAAUCGCUUUUGUAUGCAUUUUUUACUUUGUUUCAGUCUUUCUCUCUGUGAGGUAUGACAGAUUAAAUACGCCCUCCAAUGAUAGUUUUUAAUUAGUUAACAUGUAUUUACUAAGUACUUGCUGUGUGCUAGGCAGCCUAAGUACAGACAUGGAAAACAAGAUGAUACAACCAAACAUGGCAAAUAUCAAAACCAUGACAUUUCUCAAAAUCACGGUAAUAUUUUCACAUUAAUAAUAUUUAAUACUUUGUGCUGUAGGAACUUUAUACAUUUGAAAUGCAAAUAUUCUGGAAAAUGGUUGGUAGAAAGUUAAAUUCACAAAAUAUAAUAGAUCACAGCUGUUAGUAUGUUUGAGCUGAUAUUCUAUAGUUUAAGUGAGAACUUUGCAGAAUUCCCACAAAAAGCUCUUCUCAUGUGUGUCUAUUUAAGUAGUCAUGUGGAAAGGAUCUUAGAAAAGACUGAAAAAAUAGAUCAAUCUGUAUUUGAAGAACAAAAAAUACAAUGAAAUCAAUGGAUGUUCUUUCACUGCUGUCAAAUCAAACUUUUCCCACCUACACUCAAAAUGAGCAGUUACCUCCUAUUUGAAGAGUUUGCAGUAAUUCUGCUGCAGACCUACUGCUGUAUUGGAUAGCUAAAGGAAGAAAAGCAAAAAACUUUAAGGAGAUCUUAUAAUUCCAAACAUGGUCCUGCUGAGUUGCCCAGGCUAGACUCGAAUUUAUUGUCCUCCUGCUUCAGCCACUGGAAUAAGCAGAAAUUACAGCAGGGAAAUGUGACUAGAAAAGAAAGGAGAGGUGGCUGAGCCAAUCAUGCUCCUUGGCAUUUUUUAGGACUUGGGACUCAGUUCCUUCCAAAAUGGAAGCCACAGGAUGGGAGCGCACAGCACACAAGGAAAGAAGCAAAUCGGGAUGAAUUGUGGAAAAUCAGUAUUGAAUCCCUUCCCAAAAGAUAGGAAAGAUUGUGAAACUGCCCAAGAGAAAAGUAAUACAAUCAGUCCUCCUUGGUUUCUGAAAUGAAGGGACCCAGCCAGUCUGAGCCUCAACUGAAGAGCUGUCCUUACAUCUU